AUCUACAAUGGACUCAACAGAAGCCGCCCAGUUGUGCCCCUGCUCCUUAUUUUCAUUGGGUUAUAUGUAGAUUUAAAAUAAUAAUGGCCCCCAGCCAAGGCUCCAGGUGCCCACAUGUGGCUAACUGUAAACACAAUGAAAUAGAGGCAUUAAACCAC